UACGAGUGCCCCAAGCGUUAUCCGGAAUUAUUGGGCGUAAAGGGUCCGCAGGCGGUUUUAUUAGUCUAGUGUGAAAGCUCCCGGCUUAACUGGGAAAACGCAUUGGAAACGGUAAGACUAGAGGAUGUGAGAGGUAUGUGGAACUCAUGGUGUAGGGGUGAAAUCCGUUGAUAUCAUGGGGAACACCAAAUGCGAAGGCAACAUACUGGCACAUUCCUGACGCUCAGGGACGAAAGCAUGGGUAGCGAAUGGG
rnacentral:rRNA from 1 species